GCAAGUCGAGCGGUAGAGAGGAGCUUGCUCCUCUUGAGAGCGGCGGACGGGUGAGUAAUGCCUAGGAAUCUGCCUGGUAGUGGGGGAUAACGUUCGGAAACGGACGCUAAUACCGCAUACGUCCUACGGGAGAAAGCAGGGGACCUUCGGGCCUUGCGCUAUCAGAUGAGCCUAGGUCGGAUUAGCUAGUUGGUGAGGUAAUGGCUCACCAAGGCGACGAUCCGUAACUGGUCUGAGAGGAUGAUCAGUCACACUGGAACUGAGACACGGUCCAGACUCCUACGGGAGGCAGCAGUGGGGAAUAUUGGACAAUGGGCGAAAGCCUGAUCCAGCCAUGCCGCGUGUGUGAAGAAGGUCUUCGGAUUGUAAAGCACUUUAAGUUGGGAGGAAGGGCAGUAAAUUAAUACUUUGCUGUUUUGACGUUACCGACAGAAUAAGCACCGGCUAACUCUGUGCCAGCAGCCG
rnacentral:rRNA from 1 species